rnacentral:rRNA from 1 species
UGACGGUACCUGACUAAGAAGCUCCGGCUAAAUACGUGCCAGCAGCCGCGGUAAUACGUAUGGAGCAAGCGUUAUCCGGAUUUACUGGGUGUAAAGGGAGCGCAGACGGUAAGAUAAGUCUGAUGUGAAAACCCGGGGCUCAACCCCGGGAUUGCAUUGGAAACUGUAGAACUAGAGUGCAGGAGAGGUAAGCGGAAUUCCUAGUGUAGCGGUGAAAUGCGUAGAUAUUAGGAGGAACACCAGUGGCGAAGGCGGCUUACUGGACGGUAAAUGACGCUCAGGCUCGAAAGCGUGGGGAGCAAACAGGAUUAGAUACCCUG